UACAGAGGGUGCAAGCGUUAAUCGGAAUUACUGGGCGUAAAGCGUGCGUAGACGGUUAUGUAAGUCAGAUGUGAAAGCCCCGGGCUUAACCUGGGAAUGGCAUUUGAGACUGCAUAGCUAGGGUGCGGAAGAGGGAAGCGGAAUUUCCGGUGUAGCGGUGAAAUGCGUAGAUAUCGGAAGGAACACCUGUGGCGAAGGCGGCUCACUGGCCCGAUACUGACGCUGAGGCACGAAAGCGUGGGGAGCAAACAGG
rnacentral:rRNA from 1 species